rnacentral:rRNA from 1 species
UGGACCUAUAUCUGACAGAAGAAUACUAC